CUUAGCAACAUGCUUCAUUGCUGACAACUGAAAUCGCUUGAUCAUGUAACACCUCAUAUAGAUUUUGAGGAUGCUGUUUCAGACGUUUAAAAAAAAAAAAAUCUACGUAUGAAUUGAAGCUCUGGCUUUUGUAGAUCAUGUGACACUGGAAAAUAAAAACCUUCAUGUAGUGACAAAUGGGGCUUUAUAUCAUAGGCAAUGCUGACAGUCACACUGCAGGGAGAGCUGGUUACUUUCUUGUAUAUUGAAGACGACAUUGGCUUUUUCACCAUAUGCCAAGGAAUGGGGGAACUUGUUGUGUGUUUGAGAAAUUCUUCAAUGAUGGAGAUCUUCAACUAUAAUAUCACCGCAGAUACCUGAACGGCUCUAGAAAAGAACACAUGGCACAGACAGUUGUAACGGGGCUGUAACUGAAAGUUAGAUUGUG